UACGGAGGGUGCGAGCGUUGUCCGGAAUCACUGGGCGUAAAGGGCGCGUAGGCGGCCCGGCAAGUCAACGGUGAAAGCUUGGGGCUCAACCCCGAGUCGGCCGUCGAUACUUCCGGGCUGGAGCACUGUAGAGGCAGGUGGAAUUCCCGGUGUAGCGGUGAAAUGCGCAGAUAUCGGGAAGAACACCCGUGGCGAAGGCGGCUCUCUGGGACGGUACUGACGCUGAGACGCGAAAGCGUGGGGAGCGAACAGG
rnacentral:rRNA from 1 species